UGGUCCUGGCCUUGAAAUCAGUUUUUGCUUAAUUUACACAUGCAAGUUUCCGCACCCCUGUGAGAACACCCUUUCCCCCCCCCAUCGGAACAAGGAGUUGGUAUCAGGCACAAUAAUUAGCCCAAGACACCUAGCCACGCCACACCCACAAGGGACCUCAGCAGUGAUUAACAUUGAGCAUAAGUGACAACUUGACUCAGUCAAAGCAAAAAGGGCCGGCAAAUCCGGUGCCAGCCGCCGCGGGUAGACCACGUAGGCCCAAAUUGAUCUCUUUCGGCGUAAAGCGUGAUAUAAGUUUUCUUUCACUUGUAGUCGAACUAAAAUUAAGUAGUGUUAAGCCCAUGCCCAAGAAGAUCAAAAACGAAAGUUACUGCAUACAAAACAACUCGAACUCACGACAGUGGGGAUACAAACUGGGAUUAGGUACCCCACUAUGCCCCACCGUAAACCUUUAAUUACAUCCACAUCGCCAGGGAACUACGAGCUAUGCUUAAAACCCAAAGGACUUGACGGUACCUCAAAUCCCCUAGAGGAGCCUGUUCUUUAAUCGAUAUUCCACGUUAUACCUCACCAUUUUUAGCUUAUCCGUCUGUAUACCUCCGUCGCCAGCUUACCACGUGAGCGAUCCUUAGUAGGCAUAAUGCCCAUUCCGCCAAAACGUCAGGUCAAGGUGCAACUGAUAAAAUGGGAAGAGAUGGGCUACACUCUCUAAAAUAGAAAAAUACGAAUAACUAUCAUGAAAUAAUAGUUAGAAGGUGGAUUUAGUAGUAAAAGAGGAUCAGAACGCCCCUUUUAACCUGGUAUUGGGGUGUGUACACACCGCCCGUCACCCCCUUCAGAAUACAUAAAUAGUAUAUAACACACUCACAUUCAAAGAAGGGGCAAGUCGUAACAUGGUAAGCAUACCGGAAGGUGUGCUUGGAAA
rnacentral:ncRNA from 1 species